CCUACGGGUGGCAGCAGUGGGGGAUAUUGCACAAUGGGGGCGACCCUGAUGCAGCGACGCCGCGUGGGUGAAGGAGUAUCUCGGUAUGUAAAGCCCUAUCGGCAGGGAAGUAUUUAGAGGGUCCCUGACUAAGAAGCCCCGGCUAACUACGUGCCAGCAGCCGCGGUAAUACGUAGGUGGCAAGCGUUUUCCGUAUUCACUGGGUGUAAAGGGAUCGUAGACGGCCAGGCAAGCCUGGAGUGAAAGCCCGGGGCUCAACCCCGGGACUGCGCUGGAACCUGGCAGGCUGGAGUGCAGGAGGGGCAGGCGGAAUUCGUGGUGUAGCGGUGAAAUGCGUAGAUAUCAGGAGGAACACCGGCGGCGAAGGCGGCCUGCUGGACCGCGACUGACGUUGAGGCUCGAAAGUGUGGGGAGCGAACAGGAUUAGAUACCCGUGUAGUC
rnacentral:rRNA from 1 species